rnacentral:rRNA from 1 species
GAUGAACGCUGGCGGCGUGCUUAACACAUGCAAGUCGAACGGUGAAGGCGGAGCUUGCUCUGCUGGAUCAGUGGCGAACGGGUGAGUAACACGUGAGCAAUCUGCCCCUGACUCUGGGAUAAGCGCUGGAAACGGCGUCUAAUACUGGAUACGAGCUGCGAAGGCAUCUUCAGCAGCUGGAAAGAACUUCGGUCAGGGAUGAGCUCGCGGCCUAUCAGCUUGUUGGUGAGGUAACGGCUCACCAAGGCGUCGACGGGUAGCCGGCCUGAGAGGGUGACCGGCCACACUGGGACUGAGACACGUCCCAGACUCCUCCGGGAGGCAGCAGUGGGGAAUAUUGCACAAUGGGCGAAAGCCUGAUGCAGCCACCCCGCGUGAGGGACGACGGCCUUCGGGUUGUAAACCUCUUUUAGCAGGGAAGAAGCGAAAGUGACGGUACCUGCAGAAAAAGCGCCGGCUAACUACGUG